GAACCCAGAGUCUGAAAAGCAAAAUUCACAUCGAUUCCCAGCUGAGAGAAUGAGAAAGCCAGGCCAGGCCACAAGAGGACGUGACGCAGCUCUAACCAUCUACUGGGGGACCCUGGAGGAGUAUUUGGUUUCUCAGAGGUACAAUUUCUUCAACUGCAAAGCGACAGCAAACUCUGAAGGCCUCCCAUUCAAUCCCUCAGGUACCUUCUAGGCCCUGGUCAGGGACUGUGAGUUGUGCAGCCUAGGACAACGACCCCAGAACAGGACAAGACCUGCAAGCCAACUGAUGAGAAAAGCUACCAUGAAAGAGACCUAUUACCUCAGCUGAGAAGGAAGUCCCACACUGAUGGAGUGUGUGCUGCCAUUCUGAGCUGUUUGGCAGGAUCCAUCCUAUAUUCUGUGACUUAUAAUUACAGCUCUUCAUAUAUAACCAUGUGUACAUGUUUGCCAGCACACUAAUGCACACGGCUGGGAAUGAAGUGGGUGUGGCAGUACACGCCUAUAAGCCCAACACAUGGGAGGCUGAGAAGAAAGAUCUUGCGUGAGGCCAGGCUGGACUAGAUAGCUUUAUUUCAACACCAGGAAAUCUGGGAAUGGCAGUAUUCCAUCAUCACUCCAAGUGGAAUCCUGAGCUCACUACACAGGCAUGGUGGCUCAUGCAGGAGGACCAGCCUGCUUGUAAGGCCGGCCUGGGCCAGAUGGUGAGUUCAAGGAGAGGUGGAACUACAAACACGACCUGUCUCACUGCCCAGGCCCCUAAAUGAAUAAAUGAACUAAACUUCCACCAGCUCACAUGUAAUGAUGAGUGAAAAUCCAGAUACAGAUGAACAUGAGACUACUGCCAUCACAGCACCAAGCAAACCCAGUCAGCCUAUGAGGAUAUCACCUCAGUAUGGUCCUCCUGUCCUGAGAGGACCAGUGGCUCUUACAGGCUGUGGCCAGCAAGACCUUCACAAAGUGGAAAGGACACUUGCUUCUUAGUGGGGCUCUGACAUCUGUGCUACAUUGAACCUCGAAAGCCUGGACACUUCUUUUCCCAUAUACUCUGUGAAAACACCCAAGGACAGAGCUCCCCAACCAUCAAGUCUUGCCAAAAUCCACUGCCAGUCGUCGCCUGCCUCGGUGGCACCCACGUGUGCACCAUCCCUCUACCUAACCCUCCUGCCUCUCUCUUCCCAGUGCAGGAAUUAAGGAGUGAGCUAUCACACCUGAUUUAUUUGGAGCUUCAAACUGCGUCCGGGACUUUGCACUGACAAGAGCUCUAUCAACUAAGCUAUAACCCCAGCCUUUCAGGGACUGUUCAGAGAAGCUAAGUUAGUUCUUGCCUAUCCUAAGAGGUUCCCUCCUUGGCCCACACCCAUCCUUACUUAUCUCAGAGGCAGAGCAUCCCUAAAGCCUAGAAGCAGUAUGCAAUCUCACAAUAUGGCCAGUUGCCCUGAGUCUGAUAUCACCUUCCCUGCUGACUGUAUAAACCACUCACUGAAACCCUAGAGGUGGGGAGUCUGUCCGGUUUGCACUGUAAUGCAACGUCUUAGCAUGCAGCUGGUAACGGCUGCUGUGAGGAUGUGCAGCUACUGUCCCAGAGAAAGAAGCUAUCUCAUGUCCAGUAAUGGAAUGCCAGGGAGCUAUCAGAGUCCAGAAAAAUGCAUCGCUGGAGACACCUGAGGAACACACAUGGCAGGGGUCCAGGGUAUGUGCCAGACAAGAACUGGGGGCUGGAAGAAGGGCCAAGAGAACUGCAAACUGUCUCCGCAGAUAACCCUGACACACAGGUGGGACUGAUCUGACUCAUCUGGCGCUUUGCUUUCAUACGUGUACACCUUGGAAGGGUGACGCAUCCAAACUACCAAUGCUGGCCCAAGAGGUCCUGAUGGAUCCCCAAAGCUGGCAGCCACACGGUUCUCUCUCUGCCUCCUUGGUCUCAGGUCUGAGAACCUCACCGAAAAGAACAGGCUUAACAAGGACAAAGAUGAGAUAUCGCCAUGCUACGUUUUCCUUUCCUUUCCUUUCCUUUCUCUUCCUCUUUCUUUAGAAAUAAAAAAGUUUAUUUCUAAUUGUGUGUAUGUGUUGGGGAGGGACAUGUACUUGUGUGUUUAACACUCAUGGAGGACAGAAGCAGCUUCAAGAUACCCUGGAGCCAGAGUUACAGGAGGCUGUGAACCACCAGUGUGGGUUUUAGGAAUGGAACUUUGGCCUUCUGCAGGAGCGGGACUUCUUAACCACUGAGCCAGGGCUCCAGCCCUUUACUUUCUUCCUAAUUAACAUGUGGCUCUCAAAAUGAACUCUACCUUCAAGGAACUAGGACUAAAAUGAAUACAGUCAAAGUCUGGAGAAUGACCUUCGUUUCCACCACAGCAAGGCCAGGUCCACCAACUCGCACCUAGCAAAGAGGGCUAGAGAACAAUCUGGGCCUCCCUCCUUUCAAGAGGAUAAGGAAAAAAUACAUAUGGGUGUUAAUGGCCCUGUGCCAGACACUUGUAGCUUUCCUUGCCUCUUAUCACGCAGCUACCAAUGAGGACAGAAGCCACAUCUCAGUUCUACAGAUAAGGGGGUGGAGGGUGGGCAGAGCUUUAAAGAUUGGCUCAAGACCUCAGAGCUAGGAUGAACAGAGCUGAGGUUUAGGCCAGAUAUGCCUGGCACUGAUACCCAUGCUAUCUCUGCUACACCACCAGGCCUGUGCUACACCAGGCAGUCUGACAACAGUCUCUGAUCACAAGGGCAGGAGGCUCCUACAUGGGGACUGCAGAUCCCUAAGCACGGAGGCGAGGAAUGGAAGAAAUGAGACCAGGUCCUAAGGUGCAAUACAGGAAUAGCAGUAGUGCAAAGCAUCCCUAUGACAGGUUCCUUAAGCCUUAGAUUUCUUUUUAUAAAGGUUUAUUUACUUACUUUAUGUGUAUGAGUACACUGUAGCUGUCUUCAGACACUCCAGAAGAGGGCAUCGGAUUCCAUUACAGAUGGUUGUGAGCCACCAUGUGGUUGCUGGGAAUUGAACUCAGGACUUCUGGAAGAGCAGUCAGUGCUCUUAACCGCCGAACCAUCUCUCUAGCCCAAGCCUU